rnacentral:rRNA from 1 species
GNUUCCUCGACGCNGGCGGCGUGCCUNUACNUGCANGUCGAACGAGAAAUUCCGGCUUCGGUUGGAAGAGUAAAGUGGCGAACGGGUGAGUAACACGUGGACAAUCUACCCUUAAAUUUGGGAUAAUCCUUCGAAAGAGGGUCUAAUACCAUAUAAUAUCAUUUGAUGGCAUCAUCUUAUGAUCAAAGGCGGGGCAACCUGUCGUUUAGGGAUGAGUCCGCGUUCCAUUAGCUUGUUGGUGGGGUAACGGCCUACCAAGGCUGCGAUGGAUAGCCGGCUUGAGAGAGUGAUCAGCCACACUGGAACUGAGACACGGUCCAGACUCCUACGGGAGGCAGCAGUGGGGAAUCUUGCGCAAUGGGGGAAACCCUGACGCANCGACGCCGCGUGAGCGAUGAAGGCCCUCGGGUCGUAAAGCUCUGUCANGUGGGAANAAACCUUCCGGUUAAUCCCGCUUGGUUNCNGUCCCCAAAGAACNCCGCUACUNCUNCCNCACCCNGNAUACNANGUCCANCCUUUUC